CAAUACAAUUUAUUGAUCAGUGGGUACUGGAAAAAGCAAUAAUAACUUCAAGUGGCUAUCAGGACUC
rnacentral:tRNA from 11 species